rnacentral:rRNA from 1 species
UACGUAGGGUGCGAGCGUUAAUCGGAAUUACUGGGCGUAAAGCGUGCGCAGGCGGUUUUGUAAGACAGGCGUGAAAUCCCCGGGCUCAACCUGGGAAUGGCGCUUGUGACUGCAAGCUGGAGUGCGGCAGAGGGGGAUGGAAUUCCGCGUGUAGCAGUGAAAUGCGUAGAUAUGUGGAGGAACACCGAUGGCGAAGGCAGCCCCCUGGGUUAACACUGACGCUCAUGCACGAAAGCGUGGGGAGCAAACAGG